rnacentral:rRNA from 1 species
GAGUUUGAUCAUGGCUCAGAUUGAACGCUGGCGGCAGGCCUAACACAUGCAAGUCGAGCGGAUGACGGGAGCUUGCUCCUUGAUUCAGCGGCGGACGGGUGAGUAAUGCCUAGGAAUCUGCCUGGUAGUGGGGGACAACGUUUCGAAAGGAACGCUAAUACCGCAUACGUCCUACGGGAGAAAGCAGGGGACCUUCGGGCCUUGCGCUAUCAGAUGAGCCUAGGUCGGAUUAGCUAGUUGGUGGGGUAAUGGCUCACCAAGGCGACGAUCCGUAACUGGUCUGAGAGGAUGAUCAGUCACACUGGAACUGAGACACGUCCAGACUCCUACGGGAGGCAGCAGUGGGGAAUAUUGGACAAGUGGGGGCAACCCUGAUCCAGCCAUGCCGCGUGAGUGAAGAA